rnacentral:rRNA from 1 species
CCUAACACAUGCAAGUCGAACGGUAACAGGAAGAAGCUUGCUUCUUUGCUGACGAGUGGCGGACGGGUGAGUAAUGUCUGGGAAACUGCCUGAUGGAGGGGGAUAACUACUGGAAACGGUAGCUAAUACCGCAUAACGUCGCAAGACCAAAGAGGGGGACCUUCGGGCCUCUUGCCAUCGGAUGUGCCCAGAUGGGAUUAGCUAGUAGGUGGGGUAACGGCUCACCUAGGCGACGAUCCCUAGCUGGUCUGAGAGGAUGACCAGCCACACUGGAACUGAGACACGGUCCAGACUCCUACGGGAGGCAGCAGUGGGGAAUAUUGCACAAUGGGCGCAAGCCUGAUGCAGCCAUGCCGCGUGUAUGAAGAAGGCCUUCGGGUUGUAAAGUACUUUCAGCGGGGAGGAAGGGAGUAAAGUUAAUACCUUUGCUCAUUGACGUUACCCGCAGAAGAAGCACCGGCUAACUCCGUGCCAGCAGCCGCGGUAAUACGGAGGGUGCAAGCGUUAAUCGGAAUUACUGGGCGUAAAGCGCACGCAGGCGGUUUGUUAAGUCAGAUGUGAAAUCCCCGGGCUCAACCCGGGAACUGCAUCUGAUACUGGCAAGCUUGAGUCUCGUAGAGGGGGGUAGAAUUCCAGGUGUAGCGGUGAAAUGCGUAGAGAUCUGGAGGAAUACCGGUGGCGAAGGCGGCCCCCUGGACGAAGACUGACGCUCAGGUGCGAA